CUCCCACUACAUGUUUGCCAGUGGAACCAGGACCCUGCAUGAAGCAUGGCGACCCUCUCACCCAUGUUCAGUUCAGCGUGGGCCUCAAGGAUGUGCCUGUCCAGCCGUGUGAGAUCAUACCCACACCCAAUCAGCGGCCAGUGACAAGUGCGAAGGUUCACCCUCCCUGCCGCCCAGUUUCAUUAUCCACCGUUCCCUGACAUUUGUCACUGAAUGGGAGAAACCUUGGAUCCAAAGCUCCCAAUGACAACUCAUCAGACCGACUGGAACCCAUUUUCCAUAUAUCUGGAAUACAACUCUGUUAUUUAAUCUCUCUGGAUCAAAUGGGAGAAACAAAUCCACUGAGGUUUUUCAAUCAAUGAUAAAAAAUCUACAGAUGCCUAUUAUUAACCUUUGUUAUAAUCCACACAUGAGUAAAAAGAACUCAUCAUAAAUGUAAACUCAGUGGUUAUAAAUAUGUGUAACAAUCUUUUAAUAUUGAUGUAGUCUGAUGUCUAUUUAACCUCACUUUUUUAAAUGCAGUUGUUUCUAAUCUAUACACCACUAUACUUUCCAUUAGUACUGCUUUUGUUAUACUGCAUGUUUGUUCUCAUUUCAUUGUUAUCAUCUGGUGUACACAGGUUGCUAAAUGUCAGGUUGAGAUUCUGAUAUUUGGUAAAUCAGCAGAGGGCGCUGUUCAGACAGUUAGUUCAGGCUGUGCAAGAAAAAGAAAGGGAGGGUAAGAUGGAGGAGAGAAAAAGACAAGAGUUUUUUGAUU